rnacentral:rRNA from 1 species
UACGUAGGGGGCAAGCGUUGUCCGGAAUCAUUGGGCGUAAAGAGCUCGUAGGCGGUCUGUCACGUCGGCUGUGAAAACCCGAGGCUCAACCUCGGGCCUGCAGUCGAUACGGGCAAACUAGAGUACUGCAGGGGAGACUGGAAUUCCUGGUGUAGCGGUGAAAUGCGCAGAUAUCAGGAGGAACACCGGUGGCGAAGGCGGGUCUCUGGGCAGUAACUGACGCUGGAGGAGCGAAAGCGUGGGGAGCGAACAGG